rnacentral:lncRNA from 1 species
AUGGUUUUGCCCUCCAAGAAGGACCUCAAGAUCUCCCUGGAGGUCUUUUCUGUUUUCCAGUGGGCCCUUAGUGUCCUUGUUAUCGUAAUCACCGUGAUCGCCGUCAACCUCUACCUGGUGGUGUUCACGCCGUACUGGCCCAUUACCGUGCUCAUCCUCACCUGGCUGGCUUUUGACUGGAAGACCCCUGAGAGAGGUGGCCGCCGGUUUACCUGCGUGAGGAAAUGGUGCCUGUGGAAACAGUACUGUGAUUACUUCCCACUCAAGCUUCUGAAGACUCAUGAUCUCUCCCCAAGCCUCAACUAUAUCGUCGCCUGCCACCCUCAUGGGAUCAUGUCCCAUUCAUGGUUUGGCCACUUUGCCACAGAGAUGUCAGGCUUCUCCAAGACGUUUCCUGGCAUCACUCCUUAUAUCCUCACAGUGGGGGCCUUUUUCUGGGUGCCUUUCCUCAGAGAAUAUGUCAUGUCUGUAGGGGCCUGCUCUGUGAGCCAAUCCUCCAUGGACUUCCUGCUUACCCGUAGAGGCACAGGCAACAUGCUGAUGGUGGUGGUUGGUGGCCUGGCUGAGUGCAAAUAUGGCCUGCCUGGAUCUACCACUCUGUUCCUGAAGAGCCGCACUGGCUUCAUACGCAUGGCCCUUCGGCAUGGGGUGGCUCUAAUCCCGGCCUACUCCUUUGGGGAGACGGAACUCUACAAUCAGCACAUUUUCACCCCGGGGGGCUUCAUCAAUCGCUUCCAGAAGUGGUUGCAGAGCAUGGUGCACAUCUACCCUUGUGCCUUCUAUGGGCGUGGCUUCACUGAGACCUCCCCAGGUCUUCUGCCCUACGCUCAGCCUGUUACCACCAUUGUUGGGAAGCCUCUACCACUGCCCAAGAUUGAGAACCCAAGCAAUAAGACGGUGGCUAAAUACCACGCAAUCUAUGUGGAUGCCCUGCGCCAACUGUUUGACCAGUACAAGACCAAGUUUGGCUUCUCAGAGGCCCAAGAGCUGGUGGUAACUUGA